rnacentral:rRNA from 1 species
AUGUGCUUGUCCAUCCUGCCACGCUGGAUCAAUGCCGGGUCCAGCUUCUCCUUGUGGUUGGUGGUGAAGAUGAUGAUCCGCUCACCUCCGCAAGCAGACCACAGCCCAUCGAUGAAGUUAAGCAGGCCCGAGAGCGUCACCGGUAGCUUGGGCUUGUCAUCGUUGUCGGAGUCCUUGUCGCUUGAGGCCUUCUUGUCCUUGCGGCGUUUUCCUGUGAAGUCGACGGAGCAGUCGAUGUCCUCUAUGACGAUGAUGGACUUGCCCGUUGUCUCGAUGAAGAACUUCCACAACUCGGUGUUUUUCUUGACCGCCGUAAUCUCGAGGUCGUAG